UCCUCUCUAUUUAUACCUAAAACUCCACCACUCCUUCCUCUCUCUCUCUCUCGCUUCUGAUCAAAUGGAGAAACUGGCCGCCGCCAUUGCUUCGAUUCUGCUCUCCUUCCGCCGCCGCUUCGAUUAGUUCCAGACAAAGGCCCAGCCCAAACCUGUCAGGAUCUAAAAAUUAAAUAAUUUUUAGAUUCCGGCGGAGCUUGCGAGAAUCGAAGGGGAUGGCAGAUAGGGCUUAUUGGGACGAUCGGCAUUCCUAACGACACUGUCGUUCAAGCCAGAGAUCUCUGGGAGCAUAAGACUUUGGAAAAGCAAUUUGUGGGAAAUAUAUCGCACACUUGAAGAGGAUGAAGAGGAUGAAUAUUGAAGAGGAUGAAUAUUUUCUUUUAUGUUAAUAUUCGUUAAUAAAAUUCAAGUAGAAUCCCUUUCUUUCCCCUUUCUCUAAUAAUCAGGUCAGCUCCAGAACCGGCGGAAUUGUCCAAUCCUAUCUUUCCAGGAAGUCAGUCCGGAGCGGGAGCAACUGAUAGAGCAAAUUCUGACUAAACUCGGGGUGUAGGAGGUCUUUUUGAGCGCAUCUUUUUCAUAUCGAUCAAGCGGGUUUCGUUUCAUUUUCCGGACGGAAAACCUGUCAUACUAUUUAUUCCACUUUAGCUAAGCUAAUGAUGAAACGAUUACUAAUGUAAUGUACCUAUUAUAGUUCCU